GCGUCGGAGGUCGGAUGACGACGCUCGUCAGGGGUCUCCGCUGGCCGAUCUGCGGGGCGGAGGAUCAAUGCGAGGUGGUGAAUGCCAGCGGGACGAUCCAGGGACACCGAACGCGUUUGCUGUGAGCUCGCCCGACGUCAGUUGACUCGGCGCAACUUUGAAUAGCUGGCUCCAGGUCCUGCUCCACACGGUACAGGUCACCAUCAGCUACCUGUUGAUGCUGGCCGUGAUGACGCAGAACGCGUGGGUGCUGACUGCCGUCUGCCUGGGCGCCGGCUUGGGUUACGGCACGUUCAGGCCGCUGGUGAUGAAGGUCGGCUCCGGACUCAACAGCGGCCACGGGGAAAGUGGCGCCCAGUACCGCAGCAUAUCAAGUGUGCGGUAGGCUUCGACAGCGCGGAGGAUACUUACCAAACGUACCACGAGCUUUCAGAGGUCUUCUACACGUCCGCCACGAAUGUGCAUCAGCUUCUCUGCAGCGUUACAGAGGUCGGAUUUAGCUGCAAUCAGACUGCUCAGACAUCGAGGCGUGAAUUUUUUUUGUGAA